GAAAAAGAAAACCAUGAAAUUUGCAGGUAAAUGGAUGAAGCUAGAAAAAGUUAUCCUGAGUGAGAUAACCCAGACACAGAAAGACAAAUAAGCCCUCAUCAGAGCAGCGCCCUCCUGCGGCAGAUGGGAACAAAUACAGAGACUCUCAGCUAGAGCAUAUGCAGAGAGGAAGAGAUCCUGGAAACUCAACUCUAAACAGGACAUCUCCACUCAAACUCCUCCCAUCAGGACUUAGGGAACCCUGUGGAAGAGGAGGUGAAAAGAGUCCCACAGCAUACUGCAGAUGGUGAGACCACGGUCCAUCUACUGAGGGGAAGCACAGAUGUGGAGUGGGGCCAGACUAACCCUGAGAAGAGCUGCACUGCAUGUGUUUCACAGGGCAGAGCUGGAGAGGGAGGAAUGCCCCAUCCAUCUGGAUUCCAGAAGAUCACAUGAGUACCAGAUGCUGGACAUUGGGCUGUAGGAUUUGGAUUAUUAUAGCUGGAUUUUGGUAUUGUUAUCAUCUUAAAAUUUUUGUGCUCCAGCUCUUCUCUUGUGGAAUAAGAAAAUAUCUAAUUUUUUGUUUGUUUUACCAGACCCAAUUAAUAAACUUUUGUUUUAUUUGUUUUUUA